GUGCCAGCAGCCGCGGUAAUACGUAGGGUGCAAGCGUUAAUCGGAAUUACUGGGCGUAAAGCGUGCGCAGGCGGUUUUGUAAGUUUGUCGUGAAAGCCCCGGGCUCAACCUGGGAAUUGCGAUGAAGACUGCAAGGCUUGAAUCUGGCAGAGGGGGGUAGAAUUCCACGUGUAGCAGUGAAAUGCGUAGAGAUGUGGAGGAACACCGAUGGCGAAGGCAGCCCCCUGGGUCAAGAUUGACGCUCAUGCACGAAAGCGUGGGGAGCAAACAGGAUUAGAU
rnacentral:rRNA from 1 species